GGCGGCACGAGGUGUCCGCACAAAACUCACCAUUCCAAAUUGUGGACAUUCGCGUAAUCGGUUUUCUAUCGCUCAUUUGCACAUCACGUCAAUGAUGUCAUGUUACCGCACGGGAUUGUGGGUCAAUUAACCUUGUCGGCGUGGGCGUCCUGAUUCUAGUUUGUGAGCUAGGCAGGCUUUUUCAUGGGAAAGUCUCCCAAUCAGAAGUACAUGAUGGGGGUUAGUUUGACCUCAGGUCUCCACCCUGGAAGCCUGAGGGAGGGAGGGUAGGAGGACACGGGGGAAUCAGAUAACGCACCUCUAACACUGCAAAAUGUGUCACACUACCGAAUGCUACUAAAACACAAUUCAUUCAUAAUACUGUGAAUAUAUAGUUCCACAGACAUAUUGUUGGAUUUUCUUUAAGAAUAAUAUAUUACCAGUCUGCACAACCACCAAAGUGAAUUGGUUUUGUCUUGACUCUUGGUUGACAGUGUUGAAGGAUGGAUAAUGAACGGAUGCUUGAAUCCCAAAUCAACACAAAUUGAUAAGAAAAGGUCUUAGCCAGUGUUCGUCAACCCUGCUCCUCUGUGCCCCCUGCCCCUGCAUGUUUUAGAUCUUUCUCUGCUCUGUCACACCUGAUUCAAAUGAUCAGCUCAUUAUCAAGUCCUUCAUUAACUACAUCAAGUAUGUUAUGGCAGGGUGGGAUUCAAGCCAUCAGGUGCCCAGUUUAGAGAAAAAGUAAAGAAGAAGAGGAGAAACAGGCAAAAGAAAAAAAGGUAAUCAGCUAUGUAUUCUCUUUAUAAGUAUAAUAUUAUGCAUGUAGCUUAAUGAAAUAGGCUAGUAUAACACUGUUAUAUGCUUGCUAUGGACACAUAGGGUGACAAUAUUCAAUUUAUUGUCCAACUAGCCUACAUAACAUUGGAUAUAACUUCAGAUAGUUUCAUCAUGCCAAUAUGUGUAGCCUGCAGCAAAACAAUUACAACCUCACUAGCACAUUAUUGACUUGGUUAACUUUCAUUGAGGUGACAUCAUAAAGGCUUUCUGUAAUUGUAUUGACUAGGUCGUGAGCUCAGUAAGGGGAAUUUCCAAUGCUGUAAGCAAACUUAAAAGGCGUCUGUAUUAUGCUGAUAUUUUGUAUCUUUUGUUAUAUAUUGAGUCUUCUGGGUUGUCUUAUGCCUAGAAUUAGCCAAGGAGGUUGUGUGGCUCAUAUGUUUCUAUCCUGAAAGUUUGAUAAAGUGUUCAUAGUGACUUAAACUGUGCAUAAAAUGUAUUUAGGGUAUGAAUUUGCAUUAUUUCAAUGCAAAUUCAGGGGCACUUCUGAAAAAUGUGCCAGAGGGCAGCCAUCCACCUCCUCAGCUACACAAGGGUCUUCACCAAUGUAAUCUGAGCCUGAGGAUGAAGACCCACUUCUCCCCAGCAGGAUUCUUCAGAAAUGCCCGUAGCAGCACCCCCACCAAACCCUGCUGCUGAGGAUGAACCGCUGUCUACAGACCCUGUCUACAGACCCUGUCUACAGACCUUGUCUACACACCCUAUCUACAGACCCUGUCUACAGACCUUAUCUAUGGACCCUGUCUACAGACCUUAUCUACAGAAGCUGUCUACAGACCCUGUCUACAGACCUUAUCUACAGAACCUGUCUACAGACCCUGUCUACAGACCCUAUCUACAGAACCUGUCUGCAGACCCUGUCUGCAGACCCUGUCUACAGACCCUAUCUACAGACCCUGUCUACAGACCCUGUCAAAUUUGGACACAACUAGUUUGCAGAGGACCAAGUCAGGAAUUACAAUGGUGGGCGCUUGCCUCUCCCAGAGCCCCAGACAGUCACAGCCAAGACAACUAUACAGAACCCAAGGAGUUGACACGACAAGAGUUUCACCAAGGCCUAGCUAUGCGGUCACCACACAACAGCAGACAGACAACAGCUUAUCUGCAAAAAAUAGAUACAGUAUUUGGCCAACCAAAAGAGAGUUAGAUAAAGGUAAGUAGAAUGUCUAAGGUGAUCGGAUGGGCCUAAGGGCUAAUUUGACACAUCGGACAUGCAUUGUAGCAUUUAAUCUUAUAUGCAUCAUAGCAGUUCAGUCAGUUACAUCAGCUGAUCUGAGAUCUUGAGGUAGUUGUUUCCCUUGCUCAACAAGGCCUGGGGCUUUUCUGGGGAAAUGGAAACAACGCUUUGUGGAUGACAGUUGUCUUUGCGUUUAGAGUUUUCAGCCCCAUGUGAGGAGGUACAAAGAAUAAGUCAAGGAAAACCUGAUAGGCUAAUUCAAAACAAAUGUUAGAUUGACAAUAUUUAGGGAUUGGCUACUCCUAUUUAUUUAAUUUAAAUAUGCCCAUCAUUGAACAGUAAUUGUACAAUGUAUCAGCAAAGCCAUUAAGGCUAUAUAUUUUAGACUUUUAGAAAGCUAGCCACCGCAGCUUCUGAGCAAGUCACCUUUGCUAAGUGCCACACGAUUUAAGGAUUUGCUAACAUUAUGCAAGGUCUGCUAUGUAAAUAUGUAAAAAAAUCUUCAUAGGUCCAUUGCGGUGCAUGCAAUAUAUAUAGUUUGCCAGUGCUGUACCUUCAAUCAUAGCUGGCCAGUUAUACUAUAUUUGCAGUCACUCAAACAAAAUCACAAUGAUGGUAAAAGGUUUGCUAAAUAAAACAUUUAGCUAAUUUUGGAAGACCUGCAUUACACAAAAUGUUCAGUUGAGCAUCAUUCUUCCAAAAAACUAUUGGUGACAACACUGUACUAUGCACAAAUUAAUUGUUGAUAUAUGUAGUAUGUCAAGUGGUUUACAUUUUUAUAUUUUUUUAUUCAUUAUAGGCUAUCCCCAUACUGGUUUUACGAGUAGAUAAAAGUGUUUGUUUGUUUGUGUUUGCCUUUAUCCUAAGGUGCACGAGGCUGGAGCCCUCAUUGCUAGCUGUGUUGAAUUAUAACCACCACAGACAAGUCUUGCAGAACUAAAUUAUGUAGUUCUCCCUAAGUCUCUCGGAUAGUAUAUUACCAUGAAUGCAAUCAGAACACUGUUCAACAAAACCAAUGUUUACGAAACAAAUUCAAUAAAAACUGUUACUCUCUG